AAAAAAUUGAUAUUAAAACACAAAAAAAAAGGUUGAGAAGACAUGGGUAAAGAGGCUAUAAUAACCGACUUUACUGUCAGAUGACUCGGACAUUGAAAUGACUGACGUACACAGGAUGAUAAUUUUAUAAAUACCAAAUAUAUAAUAAUCAAUUUAAUUAUUUUUAUAAAUCGUUAGGACAAGUAAGUUGCAUAUUUAGGUUACAAUGUCGAUUUUGAUAUCACAAUCAAAUAGAACGACGCCAGUUUAAUAACACGUUAUAUAAUGUAUUUAUAAUUGUCGAAAAUAUAUUUUUAUUUUUGUCAAGUUUUUAGUACUUGUAUAAAAGUUCAUAAAAUCUCAACAAAUCAAUCUUGCAAGAAAAACGAGUGUGCUUUUGACCACACGACCGAAGUAAAAUUUCUUUAGUUCCUACAGUAAUAUACGAAACAUAACUCUCUCACUUUCUAUAUACACUAACUUAUAUCUCCUUCAACAUCCGUUCACCUCGCUCGAUCACACUUUUCCUAACGUUAUCGUCACACAUUCACCAGAUUACUCCCCAAGUCAAGCGUUCGUAAAGAAGUUUUACUUCAACAAAGUUUUUUAGUUACAAUUAAACUCUACAUAAAUCAAACUAUAUUUUUUGCAUUAUUUUUCUAUAACAUUUAUGUUCUAAAAUGAAAUUAUGUAGUUUAAAAUACGAAAUUCUUAGGAAUGCUACUACAAAGUCACGUAAAACUUAUCACAAUGUAAAAAAAGGUUUAUUUUAAGUACAUUCAAAGAUACUGAGUUUUGGUACAGAUACAAAUAAUAAUAAAAUAACUCACGUAUGGGGGAAUUGUAGAAAACUCUUGCUAUCAUAGUAAAGGUAUGUUUUCUUCUGUUGUUACAUAAUAAGAAAAAAAAAUUGUAACUGUCGCUCAACUAAAUUUUAUUUUUCAAAAAGUUU
rnacentral:misc_RNA from 1 species